UUUUUUAAGUGGAUACCGAGGUACCCCUAAUUCUACUGCCGGACACUUGUCCAAUUUUUCUGCGAGGUUGUCGAGCACUUGCUCCUUUUUAUUUCCUCGAAAUAUCUUCUAUUUUUGCAUAGCCCAUGCCUCUAAUGCAAUAAUACUUCGGAAGAGUGAAUCUUUCUGAAAUAAUGUCUUGAUCUUGGGAGCAUGAUAAAUCUCUCAACAAGGGUCUAACUUAUUUUGAACAAACUCAAUACAGAGCAGAUAGCUUUUAUAAUCAUAAUUAAUAUUUCAGUUUUAUCAGGCAUAUAAAACACUAAGGAUGGUAGCUAGAAAUUUGAAUAUUUUGAAAUAAAUUCUCCAAGCAACAAUGAUAUCAAGAAUAAGAAACUUAUACUCUAUCAUCACAUAUUCCAUUUGACUUAAGUAACACAGGGUUUUAAAAUGAUUUUAUAAUAAUUGCAAGUUUUCAGGAAAUAUCACAGAUUGAGAUUAAUCAUGAUUAGAAAUAUUUUAAUCUUUUUAAUUUAUCAUGUCGGAAACAGUAAUCUACAUAAUCCAAAAUAUGUGUAAAGUAAAGUGUGCAGAGUGUGUACCUGAAUCGUGGAGUGGUGUAGUCGGAGUGUGUUUGGCAUGUUGAGGGAUCUCCCCCAUACUUGUUUUCUACUUUCUUGCACAAAAAUAAAGUAGAGACACACAAAACAUAAUAAUAAUAAUACUCUUUAUUGAUCUUGAGGCAUUUAUUACAAAAGACUGAUAGCAAACUGAUAACAAACUGAUAAUAAUAGCAAACUUAUAAAAGCAAACUUAAACCGAAUUUAAAGAUAGAUAACUAAGAUGCACUGCCUCAAGGUCUAAUCUAGAUAACUUAGCGGCGCUCUAAUUCUUUGAUCUUCUUGUUGGCACUGGCAAGAUCCUGCCUAAGGCCUAGUAUAACGGUGUUGUGGUUAGAGAGCUGCCUAGUGAGGGAAUUAAUCGAGGAC
rnacentral:lncRNA from 1 species